rnacentral:rRNA from 1 species
CCUGGCUCAGGAUGAACGCUAGCGACAGGCCUAACACAUGCAAGUCGAGGGGCAGCACAAGGAGCAAUCUGAGGUGGCGACCGGCGCACGGGUGAGUAACACGUAUGCAACCUGCCUGUAAGCGGGGAAUAACCCGUUGAAAGACGGACUAAUACCGCAUAAUACUAAAUUACUGCAUGGUAAUUUAUUUAAACAUUUAUGGCUUACAGAUGGGCAUGCGCAUGAUUAGCUAGUUGGAGAGGUAACGGCUCCCCAAGGCAACGAUCAUUAGGGGUUCUGAGAGGAAGGUCCCCCACACUGGUACUGAGACACGGACCAGACUCCUACGGGAGGCAGCAGUGAGGAAUAUUGGUCAAUGGACGAGAGUCUGAACCAGCCAAGUCGCGUGCAGGAAGAAAUGUCCUAUGGAUUGUAAACCGCUUUUGCAGGGGAAUAAAGUGCAUCACGUGUGAUGUUUUGUAUGUACUCUGCGAAUAAGGGUCGGCUAACUCCGUGCCAGCCGCCGC